UUGGGCCCGCGAGGAGCUGGUGGGUAGGUUGGCCUGCAGGGAUUGGGCCCGCGAGGAGCUGGUGGGUAGGUUGGCCUGCAGGGAUCGGGCCCGCGGGGAGCUGGUGGGUAGGUUGGCCUGCAGGGAUCAGGCCCGCAGGGAG